UAUUGUUCCUCUGCCUCUUUUUAGGAUGAGCUCCUGUGCCUGGCUGUAGUUGCCCACUUUGGGAUCCUGCUGAGGAGCUGUACCUAUAAGUGGCUUUGCACUGGGGAAGCCUGCAGACAUGCUGGAGGAGUAAGGGGCACAGACUGAAUAGAUUCUACAUGGAAAAACAGGAGAAUUGCCUACUGUGUACGGGCCUGCCUAUGUGGCUCUGUUAGUAGAAUAAGAUGCUUAAGUAUCUAAAAGAGGAUGUGUGCAACUUUGGCACCUAGAAACCUUAAUAAGGAUGAAGAUCUCAUUCUGCUGCUGGGCACAGUCCAAACACAUAGUAAGAGACAGGCCUUGCUGCUGGUAGUAUACAAGCAAGUACGGUGCUGACUGAGAGAGAGAAAAGAAACUGCUAUAUAAUA